UAAAUAGGAAUACCGGACACUCGGUAGCCAUAUUGGAAACAACUGCGAUCAGCGCUCCUAUCGGGCAGUGUUGUGUGUAACGUUGUUAGCCCAUUUGUUUACGUGUUUUGACGGUGAUUAUUUUGUGGUAAAUAAUUUAUAACGCGCAAUUGAGAUGGAUCCGCCGACAUAUGGUACGUGCGGCAGUAUAUGCGCAAUGUAUGGGUGCAGUAAUUACAGAGUUCAGAAGGAUGCCAAGUCAUUUUUUUCUUUCCCGAAGUCUGACAUCUAUAAAGAGUGGGUGCACAAAACAAAGAGAGCUGACCUUGAUGAAAGUGUCAAACUUAGAGGUCCAGAUUGUCUCAAAUAUUUGAAAGUGUGUGAAAUACAUUUCAAGGAUGAUGACUUUAGAAAUCCAAGAAAUAAAUCCCAAGGGU